CUAUUAUGAUGAGAAAAAUUUUUUCAGUUCUGCUUCUGCAAAUAUAUUGAAGAAAACCAAAUACCUUACCAAAAAUAUCCUGAUCA
rnacentral:snoRNA from 1 species